rnacentral:rRNA from 1 species
UACGUAGGUGGCAAGCGUUGUCCGGAAUUACUGGGCGUAAGCGAACGCAGCGGAUGGUUAAGUAAAGAAGUGAAAGGUCGGAGCUCAACUCCAACACUAGCUUCUUAUACUGGCCGUCUUGAGUCCGGAGAGGAAAGCGGAACUCGCACGUGUAGCGGUGAAAUGCGUUGAUAUGUGCAGGAACACCAAUGGCGAAGGCAGCUUUCUGGACGAGGACUGAUCG